rnacentral:lncRNA from 1 species
CAUAACUAAGGCUGCAAAUAAUUUAAUCAUGUGUCUUAACUGCUUGCCGAUUCUCAUCAUUCGAUUAAGAUAUGUCAUAUUUAGCAUCAAAUUAAGGAUUUUAAAAACUCUCUCUCUCUCUCUCUCUCUCUCUCUCAAAUACCAAGGCAAGUUCGGCAAGAGGGUUAAAACCGUGCGCUCAACCCUAGAUGCUGCUUUGGUUUAAAUAGCAACCAGAAGGGACACAGAGUCAGAUCGAGUCAGAUGGAGAGGAAGAGUUUCAUUAUUAAAAAGCAAAUGCAAGCAUCGUUGUGGAUGCAUUUAAACCAACGGGCAACGGCAAUAAGUUUUCUGUAAGUAGAAAUUGAUAGCAUCUUUUCUUUUGUCACAGAGAGAGUUAAAAGAGAUCAUCAGAGAGAGAGAGAGAUUCCAGGAGAAAUACUUUUGCCAUUUUUUGUCACACGCAUUCUUAUCUUUUUUUGAUUAAUUACGCUAUCGACAACAGGGGCUAGAGGUACAUUUCGAGGUAAUUUGUGCAUGAAUUUUAUGUCAAAAUAGCUCUUGCUACCUGCGGGCAUGUGACGCUUAUUGACAUGCAUUUAUACAUAUUUAUUGUAAUUAUUACUUUUAGUACUCCUGUUUUAAUUUUCUUAAUUUUGCUCACAUUCUUUACUCCCUUUAUCAACUUUGGUUAAAUAUUGAAUUUCCUCAAUUUGAAUAUCUUAGGGUCAAUAUGUAAUAUUUUCUUGUCCAAUUUCUCCAACUCAAUUGGAAUAUCACCAAUUUCUCUCUAAGUAAACCUAAAAAUCUUGGGUUGCAUAUCUCUAAGUUUUCCCCAAAGCUGUAUUCUAACACUUAAUCUAGCUCUUCCAAUAUUGCAUACAAAGUAAUAUGUUAUCCGUCCACAUGACCACCAAAUUAUAAAAAUUGAAGAAAAUUGAACAUUUGUCUAAAAUUGAUCAAGAAAGUAAAUCAUAAGGGUAAAAUUAACCAAAUAAUACCUAAAGUGACAAUUACGGUAAACUAAAAAGACCAUUUGUGACUUUUAGUCUCUUAGAAUUAACCGUGACAAAGAAGAUGAAUAUAUACAUUUAUAUAAUUAGUCUUAAAAAAUAAUGUAAAAAGUUCAUUUGCUUGUUUCACUACAGGCCAAGAAGAGUAUAAAUCAAUAAUAAUAAUAAUAAUAAUAAUAGGAUGUGUUUAUGAAAGAAAAAUUGUACCUUAUAAACUAUUUGCAAAAGCUAUUAUUGAAAUCCCAAUCUCAAAUGCUCUAAUCCCCAUUGAUGAAAACAAAAAUUCCAAAAUUGCAUGUUUUGUCUUAAUUUGUUGGCAUUGAAACUUCAUUUAUGCACCUAACCUAGGAGUAGUGUCGACUGGAACCCUAGAGAUGAUGUAUAUGCGGAGAAGAUAUAAACCAGCUGAAACUAAAGUCCAAUACAUUUGUUAAGCUCAUCUAUGUUGAAUUUUGAGACUGAUUUCAUCGAUUGCUUGCUUAUAUUCCAAACUAAGACCGAUAUUUCCCCCAUUCUUGAGUAUAGAAUUGAUACAACAUAUAUACCAGAUAUGAUGUUUGAUUCCAAGAGAAAGAAUCUUUGUACAAAUCUUUCCAGUUUUGGAUGGAUAUGCGAGACAAGGACAAGGCCGCACUGAUUGUUAGUUGACAGGGGCCGCCCCGCCACAUAGAGCGUUGCCUUACACAUGUAAUUGCUUCUUCUUCGACCUAAGCCACUAAUCUCUCUCUC